GAGUAACACGUAGGUAACCUGCCCAUGUGCCCGGGAUAACUGCUGGAAACGGUAGCUAAAACCGGAUAGGUAUGAGGAAGGCAUCUUCCUCAUAUUAAAGCACCUUCGGGUGUGAACAUGGAUGGACCUGCGGCGCAUUAGCUAGUUGGUGAGGUAACGGCCCACCAAGGCGAUGAUGCGUAGCCGACCUGAGAGGGUGAACGGCCACAUUGGGACUGAGACACGGCCCAAACUCCUACGGGAGGCAGCAUG
rnacentral:rRNA from 1 species